GACGAACGCUGGCGGCGUGCCUAAUACAUGCAAGUCGAACGGUCUUUUCUACGGAAGCUUGCUUCCACUGAGAAGAUAGUGGCGAACGGGUGAGUAACACGUGGGUAACCUGCCCAUAAGAGGGGGAUAACAUCCGGAAACGGGUGCUAAUACCGCAUAGUUUUCUUGAUCGCAUGAUCGAGAAAGGAAAGACGGCCUUUGUGCUGUCGCUUAUGGAUGGACCCGCGGCGUAUUAGGUAGUUGGUGAGGUAACGGCUCACCAAGACGAUGAUACGUAGCCGACCUGAGAGGGUGAUCGGCCACAUUGGGACUGAGACACGGCCCAAACUCCUACGGGAGGCAGCAGUAGGGAAUCUUCCGCAAUGGACGAAAGUCUGACGGAGCAACGCCGCGUGAGUGAAGAAGGUUUUCGGAUCGUAAAACUCUGUUGUCAGAGAAGAACAAGUCGGAGAGUAACUGCUCCGGCCUUGACGGUAUCUGACCAGAAAGCCACGGCUAACUACGUGCCAGCCGCCGCGGUAAAAC
rnacentral:rRNA from 1 species